rnacentral:rRNA from 1 species
GACGAACGCUGGCGGCGUGCUUAACACAUGCAAGUCGAGCGGUAAGGCUCCUUCGGGAGUACACGAGCGGCGAACGGGUGAGUAACACGUGAGUAAUCUGCCCUUCACUUCGGGAUAACCACCGGAAACGGUGGCUAAUACCGAAUACGACCAGUCUUCGCAUGAGGUGCUGGUGGAAAGUCUUUUCGGUGAAGGAUGUGCUCGCGGCCUAUCAGCUUGUUGGUGGGGUAAUGGCCUACCAAGGCUUCAACGGGUAGCCGGCCUGAGAGGGUGACCGGCCACACUGGGACUGAGACACGGCCCAGACUCCUACGGGAGGCAGCAGUGGGGAAUAUUGGACAAUGGGCGAAAGCCUGAUCCAGCAACGCCGCGUGAGGGAUGACGGCCGUCGGGUUGUAAACCUCUUUCAGUACCGACGAAGCGCCCUGUCGGGUGGUGACGGUAGGUACAGAAGAAGGACCGGCCAACUACGUG